rnacentral:rRNA from 1 species
CACGUAGGGUGCGAGCGUUGUCCGGAAUUAUUGGGCGUAAAGAGCUCGUAGGCGGUGUGUCGCGUCGGCCGUGAAAACUUGCAGCUUAACUGUGGGCGUGCGGUCGAUACGGGCAUCACUGGAGUUCGGCAGGGGAGACUGGAAUUCCUGGUGUAGCGGUGAAAUGCGCAGAUAUCAGGAGGAACACCAGCGGCGAAGGCGGGUAGCUGGGCCAACACUGACGCUGAUGUGCGAAAGCUAGGGGAGCAAACGGG